CGCCUCAUGUCUGAAAGGACGACGGUGUGAACCGGAGCGAGAAGUCAGCAGAGGCCAUAGUAGCCACGAGGUUGUGGUGAAGGGC
rnacentral:ncRNA from 1 species